AUUGAAGCCAAAUUUUAGUAAAAUUGAAAUAGAUAAAAAUGUUAAACAAAUUAAAGCUCUGAAACUAAUUUUCAAAAAGCAGGAUAGUACACAAAAGUGGCUAGACUUUUACGAAUCGCUCAAUUCCAACAUGGACAGUUUAGAUUCUGGAGUAUUGCCUUUAACACUGCUACCGAGACAACCUAUAAGGCAGGCCUUUCCACCAGGACAAGGAAUGGUUCCUGAAGUUCGUGAACUGAUUGAAAAGGAAAACAGACAGCCAUUGGUACAGAUAAAAAAGCGGAAAACUGGAGACGAAGCUUCUGACCUCAGGGUUGCCAAAAAGAAGAAUGAUAACACUUCUGGUGGGAAAGGGUUUGGCAAAAGGAAGAGAAGAUUUAUAUAUGACACAACACUGUGCAGAUCACGACUGGUCAUGAUUUCAGAUGAAGAAAGGAAGAAACAUCUGUGGAUAAAAAUCUUGAUGGACCUGUAUACUUCAUUUAUGCAGUAUAUGCACAUCUUGUUGCUCAUUUUGUAUGUGUUCUGCUGCCUUUUUGAAGGAUAUAUUUUGUUUAUAUUAAGGUUAUUGCAAGAACUUCUGUGUCAAUCUUUAUUAGAACACAUGGGUUUAUUCCAACCCAGAGAUUCAUUUUAUGGUGAAAUUGGAUCAGUCAAUUGAAUUUGUUUUAGCAAAUAUACGUCUCUGGUGGGCAAAAAUAAGACACUAUUAUUGAGGUGUAGUGUUUAACAAUUUGUAUCCAGUCAAAUGUUCCUUAUUUCGCCAGUUGUCUUUAUAAUCCCCCGAAAGUAUUGAGUGAGAUGUCCUUUAUAAGCUAUUGUAACUGUACAUUUGUUCAUGUGCAUUUUUCUACCAAUUUUCGAUUUCGGUUUAGAAAUGCUUUGUAUGAACUUGUCUUCACAUAAAAAUGCUUUAUUAUGUUCCCCUUCGAAGAAGAGGGGGUAUAUUGUUUUGCUCAUGUCGGUCCGUCCGUAUGUCCGUCUGUCCACCAGAUGGUUUCCAGAUGAUAACUCAAGAACACUUAGGCCUAGGAUCAUGAAACUUCAUAGGUACAUUGAUCAUGACACACAGAUGACCCCUAUUGAUUUUGAGGUCACUAGGUCAAAGGUCAAGGUCAUGGUGACCCGAAAUAGUAAAAUGGUUUCCGGAUGAUUACUCAAGAACUCUUAUGCCUAGGAUCAUGAAACUUUAUAGGUACAUUGAUCAUGAAUCGCAGAUGACCCUAUUAAUUUCAGGUCACAAGGUCAAGGUCAGGGUGACUCGAAACAGUAAAAUGGUUUCCGGACGAUAACUCAAGAAUGCUUACACCUAGGAUCAUGAAAAUUCAUAGGUUCAUUGAUCAUGACUGGCAGAUAACCCCUAAUAAUGUUCAGGUCACUAGGUCAAGGUCACAGUGACUCGAAACAGUAAAAUGGUUUCCUGAUGAUAACUCAAGAAUUAUAAGGCCUAGGAUCAUGAAACUUCAUAGGUACAUUUAUCAUGACUAGCAGAUGACCCCUAUCGAUUUUCAGGUUACUAGGUUAAGGUCACAGUGACAAAAACUAAUUCACACUUUGGCUGCCACUUCAACUGACAGCCCAUAUGGGGGGCAUGCAUGCUUUACAAACAGCCCUUGUUAAAAUAGAUUUUGUGAAUUUGUGAUUGCUAAUGUUUAAUUUUUAUGUCUCCGAAGGAGGGCAUAUAGUGAUCGGACUGUCCGUCUUUCUGUCACACUGCGUUAAGGUUUCGCGUUUAGGUUUCAAAAAAUGCUCAUAACUUCUAUGCCCCUUCACAUAGCAACUUGAUAUUUGGCAUGCAUUUGUAUCUCAUGGAGCUGCACAUUUUGAGUGGUGAAAGGUCAAGGUCAUCCUUCAAGGUCAAAGGUAAAAAAAACAUGUAUCAACGCAGCGCAGUAAGGGGACAGUGUGUUUCUGACAAACACAUCUCUUGUUUUAUGUUCUAUAAUAUGUUUGUAUGU